UACGAGGGGUGCAAGCGUUAAUCGGAAUUACUGGGCGUAAAGCGCGCGUAGGCGGCUGAGUAAGUCGAUUGUGAAAUCCCCGGGCUCAACCUGGGAAUUGCAGUCGAGACUGCUCGGCUAGAGUGUGGGAGAGGGUGGUGGAAUUCCCGGUGUAGCGGUGAAAUGCGUAGAGAUCGGAAAGAACACCAACGGCGAAAGCACUCUGCUGGGCCGACACUGACACUGAGAGACGAAAGCUAGGGGAGCGAAUGGG
rnacentral:rRNA from 1 species